rnacentral:rRNA from 1 species
AGCGAACGCUGGCGGCAGGCCUAACACAUGCAAGUCGAACGGAUCCUUCGGGAUUAGUGGCGGACGGGUGAGUAACACGUGGGAACGUGCCCUUCGGUUCGGAACAACUCAGGGAAACUUGAGCUAAUACCGGAUGUGCCCUUCGGGGGAAAGAUUUAUCGCCAUUGGAGCGGCCCGCGUCUGAUUAGCUAGUUGGUGGGGUAAAGGCCCACCAAGGCGACGAUCAGUAGCUGGUCUGAGGGGAUGAUCAGCCACAUUGGGACUGAGACACGGCCCAAACUCCUACGGGAGGCAGCAGUGGGGAAUCUUGCGCAAUGGGCGAAAGCCUGACGCAGCCAUGCCGCGUGAAUGAUGAAGGUCUUAGGAUUGUAAAAUUCUUUCACCGGGGACGAUAAUGACGGUACCCGGAGAAGAAGCCCCGGCUAACUUCGUGCCAGCAGCCGCGGUAACAC